rnacentral:rRNA from 1 species
CCUACGGGAGGCAGCAGUAGGGAAUCUUCCACAAUGAGCGAAAGCCUGAUGGAGCGACGCCGCGUGCACGAUGAAGGUCUUCGGAUUGUAAAGUCCUGUUGUUAGGGAAGAACAUUUGCAAUAGUAACUGUUCACGUACUGACGGUACCUUCUCAGACAGCGAUGGCUAACUAUGUGCCAGCAGCCGCGGUAAUACGUAGGUGGCAAGCGUUAUCCGGAUUUAUUGGGCGUAAAGCGAUCGUAGGCUGUUUGUUAAGUCUGUGGGAAAAUCCCGGGGCUAAACCGCGGAGUGCAUUGGAGACUAGCAGACUAGAGUGAGAUAGAGGUAAGCGGAAUGCCAUGUGAAGCGGUGAAAUGCGUAGAUAUAUGGAAGAACACCAGAGGCGAAGGCAGCUCACUGGG